UGCGGGGUGGAGCAGCUUGGUAGCUCGUCGGGCUCAUAACCCGGAGGUCGCAGGUUCAAAUCCUGCCCCCGCCACCA
rnacentral:tRNA from 1 species